UACAGAGGGUGCUAGCGUUGUUCGGAAUCAUUGGGCGUAAAGGGUGCGUAGGCGGGUCUUUAAGUCAGGGGUGAAAUCCUGGAGCUCAACUCCAGAACUGCCUUUGAUACUGAAGAUCUUGAGUUCGGGAGAGGUGAGUGGAACUGCGAGUGUAGAGGUGAAAUUCGUAGAUAUUCGCAAGAACACCAGUGGCGGAGGCGGCUCACUGGCCCGAUACUGACGCUGAGGCACGAAAGCGUGGGGAGCAAACAGG
rnacentral:rRNA from 1 species